GACAGAGGGUGCAAACGUUGCUCGGAAUUACUGGGCGUAAAGCGCGUGUAGGCGGACCGGAAAGUCGGGCGUGAAAUCCCCAGGCUCAACCUGGGAACUGCACCCGAAACUCCCGGUCUUGAGUGGUGGAGAGGGAAGUGGAAUUCCUGGUGUAGAGGUGAAAUUCGUAGAUAUCAGGAGGAACACCAGUGGCGAAGGCGGCUUCCUGGACACCAACUGACGCUGAGACGCGAAAGCGUGGGGGGCAAACAGG
rnacentral:rRNA from 1 species